UUUCACUUGUCAUGCUGCUUUAGUUGACACAAAUUGCCAUAUAAACUUUUGGAUUUGUCAGUGAAUAGAAUUUUAUACAGAACGACGAUCAUUAAUACGGUUGCACUUGAGGUAGAUUCUUUAAACAGUUUGCAAAAGUGCAUUGUUAGUGCGCUUGUGCUGGUGCGGUGAUAUUUCUGCAUAAUUCAUUAACACUCAACUCAAAUGACCCAGCUUUUGCUCUAACUUUUAUCAGUUGUGUGGGUUUUGCUACAAUUUGUGGACAUAAUUUGCAAAAUCUUUCCCCUAAUGAGCGGCUAAGGCGACAAGCAAGCACUUUGAUCAAUCAAAAUAACAGGAACUCUAACGUACGUGCUGGUAGUGCCUGCUACGGAAGCAUUGUUGGCAACACAAACACUCAAAUCCGAUGUGAAGACUCCACUGUCGAAAUACGGGAUAACCGCAACACGAUGGCAUCGACGGCAUCAAGCACCUUAGAAAUUCGGUCCAAUACGAACGUUGGCAUUGAUGUCGAAGACGCAUGGUGUAAAUUUGAAAGCAAUACCAAUUUGCAAUUCAAGGGGAAAGGCGGCUUCAGUAAAUUUUUGUCACAGUUUGUCGAUAAUCGCAAUAGUAGAUUUGAAGGGACAAACAAUAGAGUGGUGGCCAUUAACAACAGGAAUUUGUCGGUUCUGGGUAAUGACAACCAGUUGGAGAUUACUGGGACUCUCAACCAUGCCGUUCGACCAGCGGGAUCGAGUAGAAAUACCGUAACGGUUUCACAGCUUGGUGGAUACAACUCAAGCAUUAAUUAUGACAUUGAAUACGUUGAAUCGGCUCAGAUCGACAGGUCAAAGUAUCGACUUGGAAAUUACAAUUUCAACGUUGAAGCGAACGAUGACAAGAUACGUGUAACUGUGGAGAACGGUUCAGUGAAGGAAAACACGUCCAGUAAAAUUGUCAUUGAUGGACAGGGUAGCCAAACCCUGGAAUUUAAUGGCGAACGCGUAGAAAUGGUAGGUCCAACAACGUUUGAUAUUUUUGUUUAAAUAUUCUUUAAUGGAGCUGAGAAUCCGUGCGUAAUGAAAGAUAGGUCUUCAAAUUGACCUGGUCAUAUUUUCAUUUACCUUCAAAAUCUCCACGAAUUUUAUGUAAAUUACACAAUAGCUUAGUCAUU